GACAGAGGGUGCAAACGUUGUUCGGAAUUACUGGGCGUAAAGCGCGUGUAGGCUGCUUGGAAAGUCGGAUGUGAAAGCCCUGGGCUCAACCUAGGAAGUGCAUUCGAAACUUCCAAGCUGGAGUGCUGGAGAGGAAGGCGGAAUUCUCGGUGUAGAGGUGAAAUUCGUAGAUAUCGGGAGGAACACCUGUGGCGAAGGCGGCCACCUGGACGACAACUGACGCUGAGACGCGAAAGCGUGGGGAGCAAACAGG
rnacentral:rRNA from 1 species